rnacentral:rRNA from 1 species
GACGAUCCAUAGCUGGUUUGAGAGGAUGAUCAGCCACACUGGGACUGAGACACGGCCCAGACUCCUACGGGAGGCAGCAGUGGGGAAUAUUGGACAAUGGGCGAAAGCCUGAUCCAGCAAUGCCGCGUGAGUGAUGAAGGCCUUAGGGUUGUAAAGCUCUUUUACUAGGGAUGAUAAUGACAGUACCUAGAGAAUAAGUUCCGGCUAACUCCGUGCCAGCAGCCGCGGUAAUACGGAGGGAACUAGCGUUGUUUGGAAUUACUGGGCGUAAAGCGCGCGUAGGCGGCUUUUUAAGUCAGAGGUGAAAUCCCGGGGCUCAACCCCGGAACUGCCUUUGAAACUGGAAAGCUAGAAUAUUGGAGAGGUAAGUGGAAUUCCGAGUGUAGAGGUGAAAUUCGUAGAUAUUCGGAAG